rnacentral:lncRNA from 1 species
UAGAUUAUUUGUAUAUCACCAAGGACAGAAGCACAAAAAAUUACUAUGCUGGAAGUAAGACUUGGGGUCAACUAUUGGCUUUCUUCCUAACAUGCUGUGUGAUCCUCUGCAAAAAUAUUAACCUAAGGGACUUCACUAUGGAUUGGUAAAUUGAGUUCCCUAUAAAUGUAUGAUCCUGAAGUAAGUGCAUUGGGGUGCAUCAUUGGCAAAAUAAGCAACAAAUCAAAAAGUAAUUUACCUAACUUGGAGGAGCAGAUGAUAGAGUUCAAAAUGCUUUGUUAGGUUAAAAUACUACGAACAGGCAUAUCAUGUACUAGGUAGAACCGAAUUUUAUAAGUAUAGUUAAAAAGCUUUCAAACAAGAAAAUAUAAAAUACAUUAUUGCUUGAUAACUAGACCAGUAGAUUUUUACUGAUAAAUUGUUUGGACAUUUAUUUUGGCUUAUAUACAUAACACUAACUGUAAAUGAGCUAUUUCUGUGAAAACACCUAAAAGUCAAAACUAAAAUGGAAGUGUUCAGUUUGGAUGAAGCAAAUCCAGUUAAUUAUGGUCUAUCCUCGUAUUAACUCUUAGUGACACUGUUACCUCUAAUCUAGCUGUUGACUGUGAACCUGUCAAAAAUGUUGCUUUUUCAGCAAUUAUUUCCAUGUAUCAAAAUUCUGAUCAGGGAAAACAAGUUAUCUGUAUUCUUAUAAUUUGAAUAAUGUAUUAGAGCCUAAGAAUUUUAAUGUGGUAUCAGCAACUGUGACACAAGAUUGUGUUGCCCUAUAUCACACUCACAAUUAUGUCUCCUGUUCCUUAUUAUUGAUUCCUUAGAAUCACAAAAAGGGAAAGGUUAAGGAGAAUGUAGUUAAUUCUACCAGAAGAAACUACCUCAGUAUUCUCAGGCUGCACCCAUAGUACCUGUGGCACUAAAAUCUUAGGAUAGAAGAGUGCUAAGAAGGAAGAAAGAAUAAUAAAAAUAAUGUUUUGUGUUUUUUCCUCAUAUUAGUGAUAAUGAAAAUGUGUUUAAAUUCAGGCCUCCCAUAAAGUAUUGCGUAUCAUAAAGUCUAAGGCAGGUACCUGACCGUGAAAAACUACAUUUUGAAGCACUGAUGACUGAUAAGAGAGACACAAAAUGUUUAACCUGUAAUUUUGGUGAAGCCAUUGGAAAUUAGCAAACCUACACUAUGUUUUCUCUACAUUUGGAGACUAUUCAUCUGUUAAUGUAGAUGCAAAAGAAAGUCUUAUUCAAGGACUCCAAAGACAUAUUUAACACAAUAUUAAACAUUGAACCUGCAUUUUAAGCACCACUGCAUUCUGGUAUCAUUGCUUAGUGCCCUUUUGAUUAUAUUUGCUGGGGCUAUUUGAAUCAGUAUGAUCUAUUUUUGUAAAAUCCUUAAUUUUUUUAAUUAGAGGAUAAGUUAGCACGGGCCUUUUAGAGGGUAAUUUGAGAGUAUCUGAAAAAUUAGAGUAUUCACAGUAUGAACAUUUAAACAUACUAAUGAAUUACGUUACUGCAUGCUAGGUAGUGAACUAACGUGAGAUACCUUGAUUGAAGCAAGGAGAACAAUUCCGAUUGCUACUGUGAAGGAUAUAAAAGGGGUUGGUGUAUAAAACUACUCUUAGGACAGUAAGUAUAAGACCUUGGGGUCAGGCAAAUUGUACUUGGUAACUGAAUUUUUAAGAGUUCAGUGCCGCGGGGCUAAGUCUGCUCCUGGAUAUGAUGAGAAGCCAGUAAAUGGCUUGGGAAAAAAAUGGUCUAAGACAGAGUUGUAGAGUUAGAGGACCUGUCAUACAAACCUUGUAAGCCAUAGAAGGGAAUUUACAUGGUAUGCGAAGAACAGUUGGAAAAUAGUAAACAGUUUGAAGUGACCUAGUUUUAAUACAAAUUGGCCACUGCUUGGAGAAUAGAUCAGAAAGAACCCUACUGGAUGGGAAGGGAAUAGUAAGAAGUCUUACUUAAGCAAAUUAAAGUUAUUACAAAUUUAUAUGAUCAAAACACUAAAUUUUAGGGUAACUACAUGACAGACCAAUAGUGUUUUAAGAAGUUUAAAAUGUGGAAAUUCAAAAGUGGAAGUAGGUAAUUUGAGCUGUUGUGAGAUUCAUUCCUCAGUAAAUGGUAAAAGUACUAUUUAAGUAGACUCUAAUAAAUCAUGGAACCAUAUUUUAAUCUCCAUAACCACUAAGAAUAAUAAAGGUAUAACAAGUAGUGGGGAAAAAGGGAGUAAUGAAAAUGAUUAAUACAAAUUAGUUUUUUAAGAGGUAAAGAAUGACAAAACAGCAAGCCAGUUAAACUCUCGUACCUAGAGGUGGAUUAUACACCAAUUAAUCCAGAGUAUCAGACAGGGUUAAGAUAAAUUGACAAAGCCAAUUGUGUAUUUGUAAUAUGUAUUUUCAGUUUGGAAAUAAGAGAAUGGGGAAAGUAAAAGUUUGGAAUUAAACAUCCCCAUGGGUCAGCAAAUAGUGGGAUUUUUUUUUGAAUGAAAAUACAAUUUAUCAGGCCGGGUGCUGUGGCUCACGCCUGUAAUCCCAGCACUUUGAGAGGCGAGGCGGAUGGAUCACGAGGUCAGGAGAUGAAGACCAUCGUGGCUAACACGGUGAAACCCCGUCUCUACUAAAAACACAAAAAAGCCAGGCGUGGUGGCACGCGCUGUAGUCCCAGCUGCUCGGGAGGCUGAGGCAAGAGAAUCCCUUGAACCCGGGAGGCGGAGAUUUCAGUGAGCCGAGGUCGCACCAUUGCACUCCAGCCUCUGUGACAGAGCGAGACUCUGCCUCAAAAAAUAAAAAAAGAAAGAAAAAAGAAAAUACAAUUUGUCAACACCUGUGAGAUUGAGCUAAAGCAGUGCUUGGAGUUGUGUAACUUUGAAAGCCUACAUUAGAGAAAAUUAAGUCAAUUAAACUUUCAAGAAUACAGGAAAAUACUGGCAGAUCAAACGUAAUUCAGAGAAAAAAAGAGCAGAGGACUUCUGCUUCAGGCCAAGAUUUACCCUUCAACCUGUAACAAACUAGACAAAAUGUAUCAAGCAGCAUUUUUCAGUACAUUGAAUGUAAGGCUGUGGAGAAGUACCUGAGAAAGGAAAACAAGCGUUUAGUUUGAUGGGAACUCCAAACCAUUAAAGAAAAUUCAGGCCAGCCGUGGUGGCGCCGUGCCUGUGGACCCAGCUACUCAGGAGGCUGAAAUGGGAGGAUGGCUCAAACCCGAGCAGUCAAGUGAGCCGUUAUUGUGCCACUGCACUCCAGCCUGGGCUGUAACAGAGCAAGACCCCCAUCUCUAAAGCAGAAAAGAAAAAAAAAAAAUCAUAGCAGGUGCUACAUUUGCACUGAGAAGAAUCCACAAGCAGAGAUGUUUGUGAGAACAGUGGUGUCUUCAGCAGCAUCAGUUCCCGCAGACUCGAGUGAAUUGGGCUCCGGCAUGUGCACCACGUGGGGUCCAGAGUGCCUGGCCCCAGAACAGCCGCUGAGUGCAGGGACCCUAAGGACAGGGGUGGGGGUCUGGGUGACAAGGCCGGAGGAGUCCCUGGCACCCCUCACCCACCCCGCGGGACACCCCAGUUGACACCGUGUGCCAGCAAAGUUGGGACCUGAUGGUUUUGGGAACGUAGGUCAUUGAAAGUGGCCUGCAGCACACAGCCUGUAGGGAGCAGGCAAGGAGGGUCCUUGUCCAUCUACCUCCUGAGGCUGUCCUUCCCGUGGCCAUGCCACCUAGGCAGGAGUGCGUAGGACUUGCCUGGCUGGAACCCACCCUUGAAAACCGCCUGAGGAGGUGCCAGAGUGUGGCUGCGGGCUCCAGACCACGUCGGCUCCACCUGCCCGGAACCCAGCUGCCACUAGCGCUGGCUGGGAACACAGGCUUGCUGUCUUCUCCGGGUCUUGGGAAACCUGUACUUCUUAAGACUCAUUCAGGAUCAGCAUGUCCAUCCCAAGGACUUCUUCAGGAAAGGCACUCCCUCCCCACUAAAAGAACGUUCCUCAAAGCAAUUUGAGAAGCGCAGCCCAUCCGCCUCCAGCUGGGUGGCCGCAGACACAUCAGGCUCCGGCCUCCCUGUAUUUUCAUGCCCCACAGUGAAAAACGUGGGCAUUUCUUUCCAGUUAUGUCCUUAGCCAAAUGCGGAGCUUUUCUGCCCAGGAUGGGCAAAAUUCUAGCACUGGCAGGGGUGCAACCCAAGGGGUGGCCGGGGUUCUCACUGCCCUUGGCCAUGGGGCAGGCUGGUCUAGACAGCAGGGGGAUGUUUUCAGGGUUGGAGUUUCCCCCCACCUAGUCCUGAACCUAUUGGGUCAUGGAGCACCUGUGUUCCCAUGAGGCCAGUGUGGGCCACACAUGACUUCAAACGGCCCUUGAGGCUUGAUUAAGUGUGCCAGUUUCAUUCCAAACAUGCUGCUCUAAAGCAUCCCUGCUGAGCCACAGGAGGAUCAGAUACUGUGAGCUUCUGGCCUGUUGAUACUCAAGAGCCAGGGCAUGCGGGGAAGACUCCAGAAGUCCUAACUCUUGCUAACCUUACAUCUGGGAUUCUUCCACCCUCAGCUGAAGAACUUGAUGAAUUUCAACUUUGAAGAGAUUCUUCUAACACUUGGCCAUUUCAACCAGGCUUUGCUAAAGUCCUCUGAAAUUGGGGGACUGAAAGCCAAUUACUUAGAUCACAGGUUGCCUGUGAAAUCUGCAAGGACCUGCUGUCAGGGCUCAUUAAACCCCAAAGUAUGGCCCCUUUGGCAUGUGGACUACUCUGACCCAGAGGAGACUGGAAGAUCUCAGAAGCCUAGCCUUUGUCCUUCCCUCCUGGUUCCUGUGCCCUUUUCUCCCACAAAGUGAGUCACAGAAACCAGAAUUUGUUUUCCCCAAGGCAGGUCAUAGAAACUAGAACUCCUCUCUCCCAAACAUAGCCAUAAAACCUAGCAAGGUCACUCUGUCCCUUCUCCCUGGAAAACCCCUCAUUCCCGAGGGGUCCUGCCCCAUACCCAGGGGAAGGGGAAUUGUACAAAGCAACCUUGUUGGGUUUCCCCACUCCGUCCAUCACUGUUAGGCCACGUUAGCGUGGGUGACAGAGUGAGACUGUCUCUUUAAAACAAAUAAAACAAUAGAAUUUCUGUGCCUACUAACUAAAAGAGAUAAUCACACGUUGUUCAAUACAACAACAGCAACAACAAAGCUGUAGGAGUACUUGCAGUAAUGAUAGAGGAGAAAAGAUGUCACAAGGAAAAAUCCUCUUUUAAUCUCAGAGGUUUAUAGUUUUAACAGGUACAUUUAAGUCUAUUAUCUAUUUUGUUUUGUGGUGUAAGGUCUAUGUUCAUUUUUAUAUCCAUACAGCUAUCUAGUUUUUCCAGCACCACUUGUUAAAAAGACUGUUCUCCUGAAUCACCUUAACACUUUUGACAAAAAUCUGUUGAAUGUCUGCAUAUGUGUACACAUAUCUAUAUCUCUAUAUGUGUAUAUAUGAUGCUCUCUAUAAUACUCUCUUUCAUUGAUCUAUAGAUCAGUGUCUUAGUUUGUUUUGUGCUACUAUAACAGUACUACAUCUGGGUAAUUUAUAAAGAAUAUAAAUUUAUUUCUCAAUGUUUUGGAUGUUGGGGAUGUUCAAAAGCAAGGCGCCAUCAUCUGGUCUCUGGUGAAGGCCUUCUUGCCCUGUCCUCACAUGUCAGGAUGACAAGAAAGGGACCAAACUCCCUCUGUCAAGCCCUUUUGUAAGAGCAGCUAAUCCCAUUCCCUCAAGAGAUGUCCUCAUAGCCCAACCACCUCUUAAAGGCGUCACCUCUUAAUACCAUCAUAGUAGCCAUUAAGUUUCAACACGAAUUUUGGAGAAGACACAUUCAAACCAUAGCAUGCCUAUCUUUAUGCCAGUAUCACGCUGCCCUGCAUAUAACAAUAGUAAAAUAUAGUUAAAUUUGUAAAAACAAGUAUUUGAAUUUUAUUAAACUAUUGCAUUGGAAGGCAUUCAAAAGCAUACAGAAAUCAUAGAAGAGAAAAAAAGACCUGCAAAUGAAAGGAGUAAAAAUUAUGACUUACUGGUUUUUGGGAUCGAGGAUCCUGCCCAUUCUUCAUGACUAUGGCUAUGGGAAAUACUGGUAGAAAAAAAAAAAUCAUAGCCUUACUGGCAAAAAGUUCCAGAGACUGGAGUUAAGGCUUGAAAAGCCACUGCAAAUUUAAGUAGGAAAUCUUGGUAAUGAGAACCAGAGAAGAAAUGAGAUAGAACUACCCAAAUUCAUGUCUCACAGCAAACUCUGCAUGAGUGAAGGAGACCACAUGAAGCCUGAGGAAAAAGCAAGCAAAGACCAGAUAGAAAUCUAGUCCCAGCACUUUGGGAGGUCAAAGUGGGAGGAUCAUGAUGUUAGGAAAUCGAGACCAUCCUGGCUAACAUGGUGAAACCCUGUCUCUACUAAAAAUACAAAAAAUUAGCCAGGCGUGGUGGUGGGCGCCUGUAGUCCCAGCUACUUGGGAGGCUGAGGCAGGAGAAUGGCGAGAAUCUGGGAAGCGGCGCUUGCAGUGAGCCAAGAUUGCACCACUGCAUCCAACCUGGAUGACAGAGUGAGACUCCGUCUAAAAAAAAAAAAAAAAAAAAAAAAAAACAAAACACACACAAAAACCAUUAUUCAAGAAUACAUCUACUUUGAUUACUUUGAUGCUUUACUUAAGGGGAUGUAUUCCUCCCUGUGCUGUGUGUACUUUGGGUGGGAGAAAGCUGAAGCUUCAGAAACUUUAAAUGUCAGGGAAUAGCCCUAAGCUGGCAGAGUAGCUGCAAAUAAGAGGAGAAUCCCUAGAAUCAAGGAACCCACACAGAAGGUGAUCUCCAUUGCUAACUGACCAGCAAAUUACACAGGCAUAGGGAAAUCAAUCUCUAGGAAGCCAAGCUAAAAGAGCAUGGAAAACCAUGAGAAUGAAGCAGAGAUACCAAGAGCAGCAUGCCCCAUGGGAGGCAAUAUUGGCAGUUUGAAUCCGGACAAGUUAACUGUCAAACAGAGCAAACAAACAUAAAAUAGAUAAUACUCAGGGAAAAAAACCCGGUAGACUCCAGAGUCAUUACAAUAUAUUACAAUGUCCAGUUUUCAAUUAAAAAAAACAGGCAUGUAAAGAAUAGGAAGAAAAGACAGCAGAAAAGGCAUUCAUAGAAAGGGACUCUUUGAUCUAGCAAAGACUUCUAGGCAUUGCUUUUAUUUUGAUACAGUAAUUACAUUGAUUGAUGUUUAAAUGUUAAGUCUACAUUGCACUGUACUUCCAUGACAAUCAUUCUGAGAAGACAAAAGCCAUGGGAUCAGUGUUUCUCCUGUUAUUUGGCACUUAGAAUCAGUAAUUUUGCACUAAAAUAUAAACCCCAUGAAUAUAGGCACUGUUAUGUAUUGCUUUUGUAUCCCUAAUG